UACAGAGGGUGCAAGCGUUAAUCGGAGUUACUGGGCGUAAAGGGCGCGUAGGUGGUUGUAUAAGUGAGAUGUGAAAGCCCCGGGCUUAACCUGGGAACUGCAUUUAAUACUGAUUGACUGGAGAGCGAGAGAGGAAAGCGGAAUUCCUAGUGUAGAGGUGAAAUCUGUAGAUAUUAGGAGGAACACCAGAGGCGAAGGCGGCUUUCUGGCUCGCAACUGACGCUGAGGCGCGAAAGCGUGGGGAGCAAACAGG
rnacentral:rRNA from 1 species